GUCGAACGCGUCUCCGUUAAUGAUUUUAGGUGCUUGCACUUGAAAGAUUUAACAUUGAGACGAGUGGCGAACUGGUGAGUAACACGUGGGUAACCUGCCCUUGAAGUAGGGGAUAACACUUGGAAACAGGUGCUAAUACCGUAUAACAACCAAAACCACCUGGUUUUGGUUUAAAAGACGGCUUCGGCUGUCACUUUAGGAUGGACCCGCGGCGUAUUAGCUUGUUGGUAAGGUAACGGCCUACCAAGGCGAUGAUACGUAGCCGACCUGAGAGGGUAAUCGGCCACAUUGGGACUGAGACACGGCCCAAACUCCUACGGGAGGCAGCAGUAGGGAAUCUUCCACAAUGGACGAAAGUCUGAUGGAGCAACGCCGCGUGAGUGAUGAAGGGUUUCGGCUCGUAAAACUCUGUUGUUGGAGAAGAACAGGUGUCAGAGUAACUGUUGACAUCUUGACGGUAUCCAACCAGAAAGCCACGGCUAACUACGUGCCAGCAGCCGCGGUAAUACGUAGGUGGCAAGCGUUGUCCGGAUUUAUUGGGCGUAAAGCGAGCGCAGGCGGUUUUUUAGGUCUGAUGUGAAAGCCUUCGGCUUAACCGGAGAAGUGCAUCGGAAACCGGGAGACUUGAGUGCAGAAGAGGACAGUGGAACUCCAUGUGUAGCGGUGAAAUGCGUAGAUAUAUGGAAGAACACCAGUGGCGAAGGCGGCUGUCUGGUCUGUAACUGACGCUGA
rnacentral:rRNA from 1 species